rnacentral:rRNA from 1 species
CGAACGGGUGAGUAACGCGUGAGCAACCUGCCUAUGACAGUGGGAUAGCCUCGGGAAACCGGGAUUAAUACCGCAUAAAAUCGUAGAAACACAUGUUUUAACGGUCAAAGAUUUAUCGGUCAUAGAUGGGCUCGCGUCUGAUUAGCUAGUUGGUGAGAUAACAGCCCACCAAGGCGACGAUCAGUAGCCGGUCUGAGAGAAUGAACGGCCACAUUGGAACUGAGACACGGUCCAA